AAAACAAUGGCCCCGGCCGUAAGCAAUGAAUACAAGUUUUGUUUUGGAGGGUUUAGUGUGUACUUUCUUUCUUUUUUUUUAUUUCCCUUGGCUGGGAAAGGAUUGAAUUUUGGCGGGGUUGGAUCGCCUGGGAUUUCAAGUUUGCAGACCUUGAGCAGUGCAUAAGAAUCAAUUGGGUAUGUAAUGUGUGCCAAACCAAAAACCCAUUGCCGUCAAAUUGAUUGACUCAUAGCAACCCUGUAGGACAGAGUCGAACUGCCCCACAGGGUUGCCAAAGCUGUAAAUACUUACGGAAGCAGAGCGGCUAGUGGGUUAGAAUCUGCGACCUUUUAGUUAGCAGCUGAUCCUUAGCUUAACCACUGUUCCACCAGGGCUUAUAAUACAGGAUAAAACAUUUAAAAGUCAUGGGGGAUGAGUGGAGAGGGAGAGAACGCAACGGGCAUCUAGGUAUAGAGCAUUACGUGUGGUUUUGAGAAAUUCGGGAAAAGAUAAGGAAUAAAAAUAAAAGUGCUGGCAUCUGAGUCAUUAACACCUUAGGGAUCCAUUUGUCUUUCUAGGAUGCUAAAAAGUAAUAUGUGUGAAAUUUCAAAAACGUCAAACACACACCUCCUGUAGAGACUUGUUGCAAUUUCUCUUGCAGAAGAAAUUUUAAAGUAAUUAAAAAAAGAUGUGUGGAUGAGGGAGAUGGAUUCUUUGGGUACCUCUUCAAACGCAUUCUUGGACCUUGUCCCGUAAUUAGAGUGACAAUCUGCAGGAGGAGAACCCGAGAUUCUACAUUUUAGUGGAUUUAACAGGGGGUCAAGACCACCCUUUCAGAAGCACCGCCUUGUGGGGGACGCAGCUUUGGGGUAACACAGCCGAGCCCUGGCAGCCACCGAAAACUAAAGGAAGGAACCAAGGGGAGAAAAUAAUGCUCAACGUUCUACCACCUGUAUCACUUUUUUAAAUUAACAAUCAGAAAACAACAGCCCUAAGUGUCGAGACCGACCUAGCAAGCUGAUUUCCCUUCCAGUUCAAACCCGCAGAAAUGUCCUGCCAGCCGGGAUGCCUACGAAACUACGCAGAAAACAAACAGACCGACUUUUCACCGAACAGUUGAGUGUUGCUGUCCUGACACACAGGAUACCGAGAUUUGAAAGUCGCUCCCAAAGGGACUUACAGUUUCCCCUCAAGUUGUGCUAUUUUCCCCUGAGAUUCCUGAAGAUUCCUUUGGGUGACCUGCAGCUUCAUCUCCAUACCUUCUUGUUUAGCCAUCAUACUCUACACAACAGAGAUAUAUGUUUUAGGAGGUGAGAAAAUGUUCAGAUGCCUAGAUCCAGACUCAGCAAAUUCACCAAAGCUUCCAGAUCCUGGAUCCGCUUGUCCUGAGCACCACGUUCUUGCACAAGAACACGAAUCUGGAUGAAAACAAGGUGAUAAAUAAAUGAUUUACAGAUAAUAAUGCCAACAUAAAUAGAUGAUAUUGAUAAUUAAAAUGUGAAAGCUUCUAAGUAUCUGAUUUUUACAUUAUGCCCUUAUACAGUCUAAUUUUACUAGCCGUUUGGACAAUCGUAACAAUCUUAUGAUACAUCUUAAAAUAUGUUUGCAUUUUAAAACAGAAAGAUUUGAAUUGCCAUAAACUUCCAGGUGCAACUAAGAUGUGUAUUCACUUUAAGGUAGUUCUAACUAAGAGUUCUUGUUUUCUAUAGUUUUAAUUACAUAAAUUCAAAUUAAAGUUUGAAAUAUUAAACUUUUUUUUUUCAAGACGGCAGAGCUAGACGUCUGGGUAGACUUCAGUAGGCAUCAGCAAUCCCUCCUACUGCUACCAUUAGGAAAAAAUAAACUACAAAAAAAAAAUUCUUAAACACAUCGGAUAUUUGUGAAGAAGGACUAGAUCAACUAAAACUCCAGAGAGAAAAAGAACCCUUCCUAAGAGAGUCAAGAUCUCCAAAUGUUUAGUCUCCAGGUUUUUCAAACUGUUAGCUGGAGGUUCAAGUCCAGCCAGAGGAGCCCUAGAAGAAAGGCCCGGAGAGCUACUUCCAAGAAAUAAGCCACUGAAAAUUCUGUGGAGCACAGCUCUACUCUGAGACACAUGGAGUCACCAUGAGUUGGAAUUCACGCCAUAGCAACUGGUAUGUUUAUAAGAUAUGCACUUCAAAUAUAUGAAUACAGAUAGAUUGACAAUGAGAGAAUCAAAAAUGAUUUACCAUGCAAAUACUAACCAAAAGAAAACUGGUGUGACUGCAUUAACAUCAUACAAAGUAGAUUUUAAGGCAAAAAGUAUUUAUAGUGAUAUAGAGGGAAUUUUAAAAUGAUGAAAAGGUAAAUUGAAUCGGACGACAUAAUCUUAAAUUUAUUGUGCACCUAACAAUGACAAUGCAAAGCAAAAACUGACAGACUAAUCCACAAUCAGAGAUGGCGAAUUAAACACACCUUUCUCAGUAAUUAAAAGACAAAAAUAUCAAUGCAGAUAAAAAAGAUCUGAACAGAACUUUUAACUAACCUAAACUAAUUGAGGUAAAAUACUACACCCAACAAGUACACAUUCUUUUCAAGUGCAUGUAGAACAUUGACCAAAAUAGGCUAUUUAUUUGCUGAGCUAUAAACCAAGUCUCAAGAAAGCAUCACUGUAUUAAGUAAGAUGAAAAAGUUUGUUGUUGUUAGGGGCCAUCAAGUCGGUUCUGACUCAGUGACCCUGGAUACAACCGAACAAAACACUGUCU